CAAUAGCGUAUAUUAACGUUGUUGCAGUUAAAAAGCUCGUAGUUGGAUUUCUGGAGGGAGCGUCGGCCCGUAUUUACGAGUGCGUGACGUCUCUGUCCAUCCUUGCGGGAAGUCACGGCAUUGAUUUGUUGUGUCGGAUCGCAUCAUUUACUGUGAAAAAAUUAGAGUGUUCAAAGCAGGCUUUCGCUUGAAUACAUUAGCAUGGAAUAAUAAGAUAGGACUUUGGUGCUAUUUUGUUGGUUGAGCCUAAAGUAAUGAUUAAUAGGGAUAGUUGGGGGCACCUGUAUUGCGUUGUCAGAGGUGAAAUUCUUGGAUUUACGCAAGACAAACAGCUGCGAAAGCGUCUGCCAAGGAUGUUUNCAUUAA
rnacentral:rRNA from 1 species